GGUCUCGUGGUGUAAUGGUAGCACAAGGGAUUUUGGUUCCCUUGGCCUAGGUUCGAAUCCUGGCGAGACUA
rnacentral:tRNA from 1 species